GCCAGCGUAGCAUAGUGGUUUGAGUGCUGUACAGUACUAAGACUCUGGAGACCAGGAUUCGAUUCCCAGCUCAGCCA